rnacentral:rRNA from 2 species
AGAGUCUGAUGGAGCACGCCGCGUGAGUGAAGAAGGGUUUCGGCUCGUAAAACUCUGUUGUUAAAGAAGAACAUAUCUGAGAGUAACUGUUCAGGUAUUGACGGUAUUUAACCAGAAAGCCACGGCUAACUACGUGCCAGCAGCCGCGGUAAUACGUAGGUGGCAAGCGUUGUCCGGAUUUAUUGGGCGUAAAGCGAGCGCAGGCGGUUUUUUAAGUCUGAUGUGAAAGCCUUCGGCUCAACCGAAGAAGUGCAUCGGAAACUGGGAAACUUGAGUGCAGAAGAGGACAGUGGAACUCCAUGUGUAGCGGUGAAAUGCGUAGAUAUAUGGAAGAACACCAGUGGCGAAGGCGGCUGUCUGGUCUGUAACUGACGCUGAGGCUCGAAAGUAUGGGUAGCAAACAGGAUUAGAUACCCUGGUAGUCCAUACCGUAAACGAUGAAUGCUAAGUGUUGGAGGGUUUCCGCCCUUCAGUGCUGCAGCUAACGCAUUAAGCAUUCCGCCUGGGGAGUACGGCCGCAAGGCUGAAACUCAAAGGAAUUGACGGGGGCCCGCACAAGCGGUGGAGCAUGUGGUUUAAUUCGAAGCUACGCGAAGAACCUUACCAGGUCUUGACAUACUAUGCAAAUCUAAGAGAUUAGACGUUCCCUUCGGGGACAUGGAUACAGGUGGUGCAUGGUUGUCGUCAGCUCGUGUCGUGAGAUGUUGGGUUAAGUCCCGCAACGAGCGCAACCCUUAUUAUCAGUUGCCAGCAUUAAGUUGGGCACUCUGGUGAGACUGCCGGUGACAAACCGGAGGAAGGUGGGGAUGACGUCAAAUCAUCAUGCCCCUUAUGACCUGGGCUACACACGUGCUACAAUGGAUGGUACAACGAGUUGCGAACUCGCGAGAGUAAGCUAAUCUCUUAAAGCCAUUCUCAGUUCGGAU